rnacentral:rRNA from 1 species
AGAGUUUGAUCCUGGCUCAGGAUGAACGCUGGCGGCGUGCCUAAUACAUGCAAGUCGAGCGAACAGACGAGGAGCUUGCUCCUUUGACGUUAGCGGCGGACGGGUGAGUAACACGUGGGUAACCUACCUAUAAGACUGGGAUAACUUCGGGAAACCGGAGCUAAUACCGGAUAAUAUUUCGAACCGCAUGGUUCGAUAGUGAAAGAUGGCUUUGCUAUCACUUAUAGAUGGACCUGCGCCGUAUUAGCUAGUUGGUAAGGUAACGGCUUACCAAGGCAACGAUACGUAGCCGACCUGAGAGGGUGAUCGGCCACACUGGAACUGAGACACGGUCCAGACUCCUACGGGAGGCAGCAGUAGGGAAUCUUCCGCAAUGGGCGAAAGCCUGACGGAGCAACGCCGCGUGAGUGAUGAAGGUCUUCGGAUCGUAAAACUCUGUUAUUAGGGAAGAACAAACGUGUAAGUAACUGUGCACGUCUUGACGGUACCUAAUCAGAAAGCCACGGCUAACUACGUGCCAGCAGCCGCGGUAAUACGUAGGUGGCAAGCGUUAUCCGGAAUUAUUGGGCGUAAAGCGCGCGUAGGCGGUUUUUUAAGUCUGAUGUGAAAGCCCACGGCUCAACCGUGGAGGGUCAUUGGAAACUGGAAAACUUGAGUGCAGAAGAGGAAAGUGGAAUUCCAUGUGUAGCGGUGAAAUGCGCAGAGAUAUGGAGGAACACCAGUGGCGAAGGCGACUUUCUGGUCUGUAACUGACGCUGAUGUGCGAAAGCGUGGGGAUCAAACAGGAUUAGAUACCCUGGUAGUCCACGCCGUAAACGAUGAGUGCUAAGUGUUAGGGGGUUUCCGCCCCUUAGUGCUGCAGCUAACGCAUUAAGCACUCCGCCUGGGGAGUACGACCGCAAGGUUGAAACUCAAAGGAAUUGACGGGGACCCGCACAAGCGGUGGAGCAUGUGGUUUAAUUCGAAGCAACGCGAAGAACCUUACCAAAUCUUGACAUCCUUUGACCCUUCUAGAGAUAGAAGUUUCCCCUUCGGGGGACAAAGUGACAGGUGGUGCAUGGUUGUCGUCAGCUCGUGUCGUGAGAUGUUGGGUUAAGUCCCGCAACGAGCGCAACCCUUUAAGCUUAGUUGCCAUCAUUAAGUUGGGCACCUCUAAGUUGACUGCCGGUGACAAACCGGAGGAAGGUGGGGGAUGACGUCAAAUCAUCAUGCCCCUUAUGAUUUGGGCUACACACGUGCUACAAUGGACAAUACAAAGGGCAGCGAAACCGCGGAGGUCAAGCAAAAUCCCCACUAAAGUUGUUCUCAGUUCGGAUUGUAGUCUGCAACUCGACUACAUGAAGCUGGAAUCGCUAGUAAUCGUAGAUCAGCAUGCUACGGUGAAUACGUUCCCGGGUCUUGUACACACCGCCCGUCACACCACGAGAGUUUGUAACACCCGAAGCCGGUGGAGUAACCAUUGGAGCUAGCCGUCGAAGGUGGGUGGGACAAAUGAUUGGGGUGAAGUCGUAACAAGGUAACCGUA